ACCCUCCAAAUUCUUUACCUGUCCUACUGAAAUACUGGCCUGAGUGGCUACAGAAGGAGAAAAAAUGAAAUUCAAAUGGGCUUAAGUUCUUUUGUAAAGCAUAGGCUAGUUUCAAACAAAC
rnacentral:snoRNA from 1 species